rnacentral:rRNA from 1 species
GUUGAAAAAUCCUCGGAUGAGCUGUGAAUCGGAGUGAAAGGCUAAUCAAGCCGGGCGAUAGCUGGUUCUCCCCGAAAUAUAUUUAGGUAUAGCCUCGGGCAACAUAUCUUAUGGGGGUAAAGCACUGAUUGGACUAGGGGCCCUACCAGGUUACCAAACCCAAAUAGCCUCUGAAUACCAUAAGAGUUAGAACCCGGGAGUCAGUCAGUGGGUGAUAAGGUCCAUUGGCAAAAGGGAAAGACCCCAGAUCAUCAGCUAAGGUCCCAAAAUAUACACUAAGUUGGAAAGGAUGUGGGAAGACUCUGCCAACUAGGAGGUUGGCUUAGAAGCAGCCAUCCUUUAAAGAAAGCGUAAUAGCUCACUAGUCAAGUCAGCCUGCGCCAACAAUGUAACGGGGAUAAGUGUAUUACCGAAGCUAUGGGAUUUACUAUCAUUCGUGAUAGUGGAUCGGUAGAGGAGCGUUCUCUAUGCAAUGAAGCGCAACCGUAAGGAUGUGUGGAGUUUAGAGAAGUGAGUAUGCUGACAUUAGUAACGUUAAUGCGGAUGAGAAAUCCGCACGCCGAUAGUCCAAGGUUUCCUGGGCCAGGGUCAUCCUCCCAGGGUUAGUCGGGACCUAAGAUGAGGCCGAAAGGCGUAGUCGAUGGAACACAGGUUAAUAUUCCUGUACUUUUUUAGGAGCGCGAUGGAGGGACGGAGAAAGGUAAGCCAGAACCAUGAUGGUUAGGUAUCUAAGUGUGUAGGAUGUUCGGAUAGGCAAAUCCGUCUGAAUAUAUCUGAGGCACGAUGGCGAAGAUGACGGGGCAACCCUGAUUCUGAGUGGCUGAGCCUACGCUUCCAAGAAAAUCUUCUAAGUUUAUCCUAAAGAAUCCGUACCGCAAACCGACACAGGUGGACUCGUAGAGUAUACUAAGGCGCUUGAGAGAAUCGUCGUUAAGGAACUUAACACAUUACCACCGUAACUUCGGGAGAAGGUGGGCCUUUGGAUGUGAUUGAACUUGCUUCAUUAAGCAUCUAGAGGUUGCAGAGAGCAGGGGGUAGCGACUGUUUAGCAAAAACACAGGACUCUGCUAACACGAAAGUGGAUGUAUAGGGUCUGACGCCUGCCCGGUGCUGGAAGGUUAAGGUGAAUUGUAAGCUUUACGCGAAGCGAUGAGCCGAAGCCCCAGUAAACGGCGGCCGUAACUAUAACGGUCCUAAGGUAGCGAAAUUCCUUGUCGGGUAAGUUCCGACCUGCACGAAUGGCGUAACGACUUCCCCAUUGUCUCAACGACGAACUCAGUGAAGUUGAAAUCCGAGUGAAGAUGCUCGGUAACCGCAGAAAGACGAAAAGACCCCGUGCACCUUUACUACAACUUUACUUUGAUGCCGGGAACGAUAUGUGUAGCAUAGGCGGGAGACUAUGAACUUUAGCCGCUAGGUUAGAGGGAGUCGCCGUUGAAAUACCGCCCUUAUCGUUUCUGGUUUCUAACCGAGAAGAGUGAAUCCUCUUCCGAGACAGAGUAUGGUGGGUAGUUUGACUGGGGCGGUCGCCUCCCAAAGAGUACCGGAGGCGCGCAAUGGUAGGUUCAGCGUGCUUGGAAACCACGCGUUGAGUGUAAAGGCAUAAACCUGCUUGACUGCGAGAGGGACACCUCGAGCAGAGACGAAAGUCGGCCUUAGUGAUCCGGCGGUCCCCGUAUGGAAGGGCCGUCGCUCAACGGAUAAAAGGUACGCCGGGGAUAACAGGCUUAUCUCUCCCAAGAG